rnacentral:rRNA from 1 species
CCUACGGGAGGCAGCAGUGAGGAAUAUUGGUCAAUGGGCGCGAGCCUGAUCCAGCCAAGUAGCGUGAAGGAUGACUGCCCUACGGGUUGUAAACUUCUUUUAUACAGGAAUAAAGUGAGGCACGUGUGCCUUUUUGUAUGUACUUUAUGAAUAAGGAUCGGCUAACUCCGUGCCAGCAGCCGCGGUAAUACGGAGGAUCCGAGCGUUAUCCGGAUUUAUUGGGUUUAAAGGGAGCGUAGAUGGGUUGUUAAGUCAGUUGUGAAAGUUUGCGGCUCAACCGUAAAAUUGCAAUUGAUACUGGCAGUCUUGAGUACAGUUGAGGUAGGCGGAAUUCGUGGUGUAGCGGUGAAAUGCUUAGAUAUCACGAAGAACUCCGAUUGCGAAGGCAGCUUACUAAACUGCCACUGACAUUGAUGCUCGAAAGUGUGGGUAUCAAACAGGAUUAGAUACCCGUGUAGUC